UGUGUUACUUAUUUAUGGAACAUAAUUACUGUUUACCAUCUGCCGCUGGAUCUGUCGACAAGGACAGCUCCCGUAAACCAGAGCCAUAUAGAGUGAGAGUUGCGACAACUCCAUUGACUCCAAUGGAACGCUUUUUUUACAGCAAUGGCGGCUCGUGGAGCCUCUCAAUAGUUCCCGGAAGUAGCAGCAAACCGAUGCCGCGCCGUAGAGAUGCAGCAGAACAAACCGUUCGCGACGCACUUUUAAAAGGUCUAGGGGUGCAUUGUGGAGCAGGGCCCUCCUCUUUUUGACCACAGGACGAUGUACAAAGAUUGUGGGAAUAGCAUCUGACCUCAGCCUACUCUUGAAAUUUUUGGUCAUGACAAAUUGCUUUGCUGCAAUUUGUCUGCAUACUGACUUCAGUUUAGUUUACACACACACCUUUUUUUUGUCUACCCACAAACAGUACAUAUCACAUGGUGGUUAAAUGCACAGUUAUAGGUAACACUGAUGACUCCCUGCAAUGUCUCACCAUGAGUCUCCCCUCCCUGGGUUUUGCAAGGCUUUGCUUGUUCCUUAUUUCUAGUAAAACAUUGUCAAUGUAAAAAAGUGCAAAUAAAUUUAAGUAUAAUUACCUAACAAUUUUUUGUUGUUGUAAUUUUUAUUAGUUUUUAGAUUGCUGACUUGAGCCAACCAUUAUUUUCUCCUCUCCAUGUCAGCGGGGAAGCCAUACAUUCGCACACCUUUCUCUGACCGAGUGGAGCAUCCCCAUGCAGCACAGCAAACCAUGGUGGAGACUAUGCAAGGACAACAUUAAAGAAAGGACACAUACAAAAUGCUUGUCAUGCUAUUAAAUUUAUUAGAAAUGUAUUCAUGAAUUGCUGUAAAUAGUUUAUUGUAUAAUUACAAUUUAAAAUAACUGUUUUCUAUUUUAAAAUGGAAUAUACUCCUGUGAUGCCAACCUGAAUUUUCAGCAUCAUUACUUUUGAAUGGCAGUGUAACUUGCAUGUUUAUAUACGAGUAUGCUUAAGUUGUUUUAAACCUGAAUAUAUUGUGUACCUGAAUAAGUAUUGUAAGAAUUAUAAACAGUAAGCUUCAUUUUACAUUUAUUUAACAUACUAAUUACUGCUGCUAACAGUUAAUUGGCCCAUGGUGCGGUGUGAGCUGAAAAUCACCUGUCACCAGCCUGUCUCUGUACUACCUGAAAGUCAUCAAUAUGACAUGAGUUAACAUUAGAUCAGUGAAAAAAUGGACAAUAUGUUACGUAAAAAGGCAACAGCAACCCGUGUUUAUACAACUUAACAUUAGCCUGAAAUACGUUUUUAAAAUAACGGUAAUUGAACACUAAUCCUCAAAUAUUAACCGAUUUGAUAUUUUAAAAACAACAUCGCUGUAACUACAUAUUCAUGCUACAUACAUAUGUCAGAGUGUUGUAUAAAUAUAUAAAAUAAAUGCAUUUAUUGACUCCUUAUUACCAGAAAUCGCAGUUCUGUCACUCUACUCUAUCAGUUUGAAUGGCCGCCAACGCACUUCCUGGAACUAUUUGAAGUCUACAUGAAUCACGUGACAACCAAACAUUUCGAACUUCCGUUGUCGCAACUCUCUCUCUAUAUGGCUCUGCCGUAAACGUAAGCGUAUGGGCCAACCAAACGACCGAAGAAGAGUUUGGGACAAGAGGAGAGAAAGAGCGAGGAUCAAUAUCGGUGUUGCAUUUUCUAGAUGGAGAGAGCUUCGCGACAAACUUCAACUAGAAAGAGAUGCUGAUCUCAUUUGUGUUUUACUCGACAGGUGAGUUGUUCUGAGUUGUAUCUUUACAGAAAACGUAUGCUAUUAACAAUCAACAAGAUUAUUAUUAUGGGCAAUAAACGCCAAACGCGGGAUGGUGUCUGAUCCAUAGUCUGAUCGCAUCUUUGCAUUGACUUUGUAUGUAAUCUACUCGCGCAAAUCAUUGACAUCAAACAAAACUUCACCUUUUCACUUCACUGUUAAAUCCAUGAUUUGUCUUUUCCGUCAGCGGUUGGAUAGAAGACAACAAAUCCCAUCAUUCCAUGCUCCUUCUUAUCGUCAUUAACCACGCAAUUGUAAUUGUUUUAGUAGUGCCCUCUAGUGACAGGUCUUACAACCUGUACCUUUAAUUAAAUGUGUUAAAAUUACUAGUAUCAAUAGUAUCAAGUGAUUAUUAUGGCAAAUAUACUUAAAUACAAGAAUUAAAGUGUGACAAACUGCUAAAUAUUCUAUAUGAUGAUUUACCUGUUCGUUUGCUGGAGCUUUGUAUUCAUGUUUGCAAUGCUGAACUGCCUUUAGCAGCCUCCCUUUGCUCCUUCUCUCUGUCUGU